rnacentral:rRNA from 1 species
UGAACGCUGGCGGCGUGCUUAACACAUGCAAGUCGAACGAAGCACUUUAUUUGAUUUUCUUCGGAAAUGAAGAUUCUGUGACUGAGUGGCGGACGGGUGAGUAACGCGUGGGUAACCUGCCGUAUGCAGGGGGAUAACAGUUAGAAAUGACUGCUAAUACCGCAUAAGCGCACAGUAUCGCAUGAUACAGUGUGAAAAACGAUAGUGGCAUACGAUGGACCCGCGUCUGAUUAGCUAGUUGGCGGGGUAACGGCCCACCAAGGCGACGAUCAGUAGCCGGCCUGAGAGGGUGAACGGCCACAUUGGAACUGAGACACGGUCCAAACUCCUACGGGAGGCAGCAGUGGGGGAUAUUGCACAAUGGGGGAAACCCUGAUGCAGCGACGCCGCGUGAGUGAAGAAGUAUUUCGGUAUGUAAAGCUCUAUCAGCAGGAAAGAUAAUGACGGUACCUGACUAAGAAGCACCGGCUAAAUACGUG